rnacentral:lncRNA from 1 species
GCUCUCUGAGGAGCUUUCAAUACUUUGGGGUCAAGUUUGAGGCAGUUGUAACUGUACUGAGUUUAGUUUUGCUAAUAAUGGUAUUCUACGUGUGUCAGCCUCGUGUGGACUUCUGUAAUGACUAAUGGAUAUGUUUAUAUCCUGAGCAUUUGCUGUAGGAAUUUUAAAUGCAAUCCCAAAACUCAAGAUUACCUUAUUUGGAGAAAUAUUCGUGUUACUAUGUUUAAAAUUUAAUAGAACCAUAUUUUACCUUUCACUUUGGGACUCGCACAGGAUGUUUGCAGCUCUUGAUAUACAGGAACUAGAACGUGUCUUUUAAGAGCAUGCGGUUUUAUAAUUACGUGGAAGUAUGCUACGCAAGGGAAAAAAGCCUCUUGCUAAUGCUUUGAUGUCUUAAAUGGUACAUCCAAACUUAAGUGAAAUAGAGCUGUGAGGACAUUUUGGGGAGAAGUGACCUAGAUAAGCACUGACUGUUGCAUUCAUCUCUCUUCUUGCUGAUUGUGAUGAUUUCCUGUGCCAUAGCCAUUCAAAGUCUGCCAAAAAAGAGUGGAGAAGGAGCAGUUUUUCCAUUUCCCUGAAAAGAAUUGAGUGAAGUUGACAGCAGGAUUGCAGAAGUGGGAGGACCCAAGAAAUACUGACGAACCAGCAGAGUAGAAGAGUGUCUGCUUUCCCAUAAUCUUCCAUCACAGGGAAUUCAUUUCAGUUUUUAACCUUCACCAAUUUGAUGGCCAAGAAUGGAACUUACUGUGUGAUACUGGUACAGUUGAAUUUAAACUCUUAUGUUUAUUUUCCUUUUGUAAUUUGCCUCUUUGUAUUCUUUGCCUAUUUUUCAAUUAAAGAAUUCUUCUUUUUCCUGUUGAUGUAAAA